CCUACGGGGAGCAGCAGUGGGGAAUAUUGCACAAUGGGGGAAACCCUGAUGCAGCGACGCCGCGUGAGUGAAGAAGUAUCUCGGUAUGUACAGCUCUAUCAGCAGGGAAGAAAAUGACGGUACCUGACUAAGAAGCCCCGGCUAACUACGUGCCAGCAGCGGCUGUCAUACGUAGGGUGCAAGCGUAAUCCGGCUUUACUGGGUGUAAAGGGGGCGUCGACGGCGCUGCAAGUCCGGAGUGAAAGUCCAUGGCUUAACCAUGGUACUGCUUUGGAAACUGUGGAGCUUGAGUGCGGGAGGGGCAGGCGGAAUGCCUAGUGUAGCGGUGAAAUGCGUAGAUAUUAGGCGGAACACCGGCGGCGAAGGCGGCCUGCUGGACCGUAACUGACGUUGAGGCUCGAAAGCGUGGGGAGCAAACAGGAUUAGAGACCCGUGUAGUC
rnacentral:rRNA from 1 species